CCCUCCCCUAAAUCACUCCAAAAAAAACAAUCCCCACCUACACAAGUGUUUCUACACUAACAAAGCAACAGCUCCUUAACGAAUUCCCAACUUUACACGAGCUCGUCUCUCGAGGUUAAAUGUUAUUACUUGGUAAGAUUCCGGACCUCGCCAAGUGUUUUGAAAACCCGCAACGCUCGCAAAGGUGCAUAGUGAGAAUAAUAAGUGAAGAGACAGACUUGUCCAAAACGCCCACCACGAAGGUGCAUAGUGAGAAGAGUAAGUCAAGAGAUAGACUUGUCCAAAAAGAAACGGAAGAGAAAGCUUGGGGAGACGCUCACGAAGGUGCAUAGUGAGAAGAGUAAGUCAAGAGAUAGACUUGUUCAAAAAGAAACAGAAGAGAAUGCUUGGGGUUACACUCACGAAGGUGCAUAGUGAGAAGAGUAAGUCAAGAGACAGACUUGUUCAAAAAGAAACAAAAGAGAAUGCUUGGGGAGAUAGAAGUGUGAGAUAGUUCUCAAGCUAAGAAAGUUGUAAAAGCUAAGAACUAGCAAGUAAUCGUCCAGGAUUCCUCCACCAGGACUUGAAAUCGUCGAGGGAAAAAAAUCGGUUCCGAGGAAUCGUCGAUCCGGACUUGGAAUCGUCGAGAAAAGUUUACCGGGUCCGAGGAUUUGUCGACCAGGAGUGGAAAUCGUCGAGAAAAAUCUAUCGGGUCCGAGGAAUCGUCGACCAGGACGAGGAAUCGUCGACAGGGUCCGAGGAUUUGUCGACCAGGGGUUGAAAUCGUCGACCAGGUCCGAGACUUCAUCGAC
rnacentral:misc_RNA from 1 species